UGGAGGCCGGUGUGUGUGAGUGUGUGUGUGUGCAGGUCUUUCCGGGCCGGGGCGGAUUAUAACAGAUAUUUAUCGACCAGAUGAGUAAACUUUUCUAAGAAUAAAACUACAAUUUUGUCCUGUGUGUGAUGGAACCAGGUCCACGGAGAAGAGGGGAAACAAAACACCCUCAUCUUCAUCAUGCUCGACCAGGUCAGGGGCCUCGUUUAUAAACCAGUGCAAAGGAUUCAUGCUACCUGUGCAAAAAGUGUAGGUGUUUGAAAGGCCGGCCCCUCGCUCACCCCGUUAUCCUCCAGCAGAGUGGAGUUCCUGUGUUUGCCGCUCGGCUUCCUCACGAACAGCUUCUCAGCGGACGCCUGGUCCUCGUUCAGCAUGCUCUUCCCGGCGUUGAUCACCCUGACGGAGACAAGAGGCGGAGGAGGAAAGUGAUUUCUCAGGCCACAAUAACAACGAGGAGCGACACAGACUGGCAAGGAACCAGGGCUCUUUACAAGUGGAGGACUUCUCCCCUUCAGAGGCCUCUGAC